GAAGAAGAGGAUUUAGGGUUCACAAUGUGACCUUUAACCUUCGAGAUCAACACUCUCUCCUCCCACGAUCACGGCGGCGCGAUGGUUCCGGUGAGAUCCUCCCUUCGUCGUCUUGACCCACAGAAGUGGAACAGCGUCCUCUCUAUGCCCUCAAGUCUCCUUCUCGUCUCCCUUUCUCUCGUUCAAACCCAACGACGGCGCCGGGAAAACCGUUCCUCCGAGUGAUCACCUCCACCGAAUAAUCUCAUCCCUUCUCCUGUUCAAAUCGAACCAUAAAUCCGGAGAAGACCAUAUACGAAACCUGGAGUAGCGCACUAGAGCUAGUAGUCGAAGAAGGGAGAUUCCGAAAGUUCAGAUGCGAUAUAAGUGCAAUGAAAGAGGAGCUUCUUCAGGUGAUUCUUGCUCCGUUCUUUGAAUUUCUGUAUUUGAUACUUCUUCUUCUUCUUUCUUAUUUUUCUUCUGCCUGUGAGUUGUUGUUGUUUGAGUGGAAUGAAUUGGUGAGGAUGAGUUGCAGAGAGAGGUGAAUUGAGAGAGAUUGGUGAAGAAAAUGGGGAGUGUGAAGAGAUGAAGGGGAAGUUAGAGUGAGAGAGUGAUGAAGGAGGUGGUUAUGGUGGUGGAGAGAGUGAAGAUGGAGAAUGGUGAUGAAGUGUUGGUGAAUGAGCGUGUGUGUUGCAGAGAGAGUUGAAGGUGAAUGGGAGGAAGAUGAGAGGUGAUGAAUGAAUGGUGAAUCAGUGAAAAUGGCGUGGGGAAGAGAAUUGGAGAGUGAGAGGUGAUGAGGGAAUGGAGAAGGUGAUGGUGAAGGGUGGAUGUGAAGGUUUUUGGUGUCUGGUUGAAGAUGAAGAUGGUUCUGUUUAUAUAGGUUGAUGGAGGUGAAUGUUAGUUAGAGGGGGAAGGAUGAGGGCCGUUGGAUUUUGAUUUUCGGUUAUGAGAUCAGAGGGUGGAGAUUUGUCAGUUAUGAGUUAGUUAGCUUAGUUAUAGAGAGGCUUGGAGGUAGUUAUAUUUCUGUUAUGGAUAUUAGAAGUGGUGAAAGGUUUGUUAGGACUUGGUUGGAACAGUUAUGCAGUUAAUUUGAAGGGUGGUUAAAUUCUGUUAUCAAUCAGUAGGUUAGCUAUGAAUUGGUUUAGGGGUUGUUAGGAAAACUGUUUUUCUGUUACUCGUUGGUUAUAGAACUAUGGGAAGUUAGUUAUAACAGAACUGGAAUCGGUUAGGUUGUUAAAAUUAGUUACAAAACUGUUAUAGGGAGUUGGGAAUCGAAACUGUUAGGUUAAAAGUCUGUUAAGGAAAAUAGGUUAAACAAACUGUUUAAGACCCGAUAUACAGGGCUGCCAAUGAAUGUAUGGUUCACUUGAAUUGGGUCAUUGCAAUGUUUCUGAACUGUUUUGGCUUGGCUGAUUAUGAACCGGUUUAUGUUGCAGGUUUUCUUCAGGUUGGGGUGCAGUUUGGUAACUGUUUAUAUUUGUUUUGAUGCUGAACCGAUUUAAAAUUGAGUAUGAUAUGGGGCUGUUUGUAUUUGAACUUGGAAUUGUUUUGAUGUGGUGAUGCAGGUGCAGUAACAUGGACAGCACAUGGGAAGCUGUAUGAUAUGAAGAUGGAAGACAUAUGACAUAUAUGGGGGAUCGAUUUUACGAGGACAAGAUGUGAAGCACACUUGAAAUUUUCCUUUUUUUGAUGAAUUUGCGAAGUAUGUAUGUAGCAGGAUUCAAUUUGAUGAGGGACUGAAGUGGACUUGGUUCGACAUAUUUCCGCGGACAGAAUUGGGGGCAGCAGUCUGAGUUGAUUUUUCGAUGAUGAUGGAUGGCAUGUUUUAUUGUAAUUUUUGUAAACAAUUGGAUUUGAAUGAAUGAAUCUUGUUUGAAACUCAUAUGAAAUGCUUUGGCUCCAUGUUCAUUUCAAUAUGCUUGCCUGAGACAUCCUUAAAGACUUUUGUAAGAUUGAAUCAUUCAUGA